GAUCGCUCCGUCGCUAGAGCAUGAGACUCUUAAUUUCAGGGCUGUGGGUUCAAGCCCCACAUCA